CGAUGGCCGACGUCGCAUGCUCCCGGCCGCCAUGGUAGAGUUUGAUCCUGGCUCAGGAUGAACGCUGGCGGCGUGCCUAAUACAUGCAAGUCGAGCGAACUGAUUAGAAGCUUGCUUCUAUGACGUUAGCAGCGGACGGGUGAGUAACACGUGGGCAACCUGCCUGUAAGACUGGGAUAACUUCGGGAAACCGAAGCUAAUACCGGAUAGGAUCUUUUCCUUCAUGGGAGAUGAUUGAAAGAUGGUUUCGGCUAUCACUUACAGAUGGGCCCGCGGUGCAUUAGCUAGUUGGUGAGGUAACGGCUCACCAAGGCAACGAUGCAUAGCCGACCUGAGAGGGUGAUCGGCCACACUGGGACUGAGACACGGCCCAGACUCCUACGGGAGGCAGCAGUAGGGAAUCUUCCGCAAUGGACGAAAGUCUGACGGAGCAACGCCGCGUGAGUGAUGAAGGCUUUCGGGUCGUAAAACUCUGUUGUUAGGGAAGAACAAGUAUGAGAGUAACUGCUCGUACCUUGACGGUACCUAACCAGAAAGCCACGGCUAACUACGUGCCAGCAGCCGCGGUAAUACGUAGGUGGCAAGCGUUAUCCGGAAUUAUUGGGCGUAAAGCGCGCGCAGGCGGUUUCUUAAGUCUGAUGUGAAAGCCCACGGCUCAACCGUGGAGGGUCAUUGGAAACUGGGGAACUUGAGUGCAGAAGAGGAAAGCGGGAAUUCCACGUGUAGCGGUGAAAAUGCGUAGAAAUGUGGAGGAACACCAGUGGCGAAGGC
rnacentral:rRNA from 1 species